rnacentral:tRNA from 1 species
CGCGGGGUGGAGCAGUUCGGUAGCUCGCUGGGCUCAUAACCCAGAGGUCGCAGGUUCAAAUCCUGCCCCCGCCACCA